UACAGAGGUGCCAAGCGUUAGGCGGAAUCACUGGGCUUAAAGCGCGUGUAGGCGGGUCGUUAAGUGUCCGAGUGAAAUCCCACGGCUCAACCGUGGAACUGCCGGGCAUACUGGCGAUCUUGAGGCAUUCAGGGGCGAGCGGAACAAAUGGUGGAGCGGUGAAACGCGUAGAUAUCAUUUGGAACGCCAAUGGUGAAAACAGCUCGCUGGGAAUGAUCUGACGCUGAGACGCGAAAGCCAGGGGAGCGAACGGG
rnacentral:rRNA from 1 species